rnacentral:rRNA from 1 species
UACGUAGGGUGCAAGCGUUAAUCGGAAUUACUGGGCGUAAAGCGUGCGCAGGCGGUUGUGUAAGACAGAUGUGAAAUCCCCGGGCUCAACCUGGGAACUGCAUUGGUGACUGGCGGGCUAGAGUAUGGCAGAGGGGGGUAGAAUUCCACGUGUAGCAGUGAAAUGCGUAGAGAUGUGGAGGAAUACCGAUGGCGAAGGCAGCCCCCUGGGCCAAUACUGACGCUCAUGCACGAAAGCGUGGGGAGCAAACAGG